AGGACGAACGCUGGCGGCGUGCUUAACACAUGCAAGUCGAGGGCACUUUGGGGGCAACUCUGGAAUGACCGGCGAACGGGUGCGUAACACGUGAGCGACCUUGCCUCGUGGUGGGGGAUAGCCGGCCCAACGGCCGGGUAAUACCGCAUAGGGUGGUCUUUUCGCAUGGAGAGACUAGCAAAGCCCUGGAGCAAUCCAGUGGCGCCACGAGGGGGGGCUCGCGGCCUAUCAGCUAGUUGGGGGGGUAAUGGCCCACCAAGGCGACAACGGGUAGC
rnacentral:rRNA from 1 species